CGCUGACGAGCGGCAGACGGGUGACGAACACGUACUCUACCUUGCUCUGACUGGGGCACCACUCCGUGAAGACGGGGCUCAUUCCCCAUAUAAUUCCGAAAAGGCCUCUUUUUGGAAUUAAACAUUCGUCGGUCAUAAACGGGCGUGCGUCUGAUUAGCUAGUGGGCAAGCUAACCGCCUACCAUGGCAACGAUCAGUAUCUGGAGAGAGAGCUUGACCAGCCUGACGGUGACUGACAUACCGGACCCACUCCUACGGGAGGCAGCAGUAAUGAAUAUUGGUGAAUGGACGCCAGUCUGAACCAUGCACGCCGCGUGCAGGAUGAACGCGCUCUGCGUCGCAGACUGCUUUUUACAAGGAACAAAACAUUUGUUUCUACCGAUUUUGACGGUACUUGAAGGAAUAAGCACCGGCUAACUCCGUGCCAGCAGCCGCGGUAAUACGGACGGUGCAAGCGUUAUCCGGAUUUACUGGGUUUAAAGGGUGCGUAGGCUGAUUGAUAAGUCAGUGGUGAAAUCCUCGGGCUCAACCCGGGAAUUGCCGUUGAGACUAUCAGUCUUGAAUAUAAUUGAGGUGAGCUAAAUGCUUGGUGUAUCAGUGAAAUGCUUAUAUAUCGCGCAAAAUACCGAUUGCGAAGGCAGCUCGCUAAACUAUUAUUGACACUGACGCACGAAAGCGUGGGGAUCAAA
rnacentral:rRNA from 1 species